AGCAAUAGGCAAAUUGUUAGGCAAAUGAGCAACACAAGCAAAUGGGCACAUAUAUCACGUGCCAAAGAAUCAAUCUUCUUUUCAAGCAAAUUCACUUAUAAGUAAUUUUCAAAUUGGUAGCAAAUUUUUUAUUUAUCUUCAAACUACCUAUGAUGCAUUUCAUUCCUUUGAAAUUCAUGCUCAAUAUUUCAUAUAUAUGCUUUUGCUCAAGUAUUUUGUCAUCAUCAAAAAGGGAGAGAUUGUUGCUCCUUGGAUUGAUUUUGAUGAUUACAAAGCAUUUGAAGGGGUACUAAUGAUUUUCGCUUGAAAAAGACUUAUUGCUUUUCAGAGACAAAAUCAUAAUUUUA
rnacentral:lncRNA from 1 species